GUUGCCUCGGCGGGAUCUCUGCCCCGGGUGCGUCGCAGCCCCGGACCAAGGCGCCCGCCGGAGGACCAACCAAAACUCUUAUUGUAUACCCCCUCGCGGGUUUUUUUAUAAUCUGAGCCUUCUCGGCGCCUCUCGUAGGCGUUUCGAAAAUGAAUCAAAACUUUCAACAACGGAUCUCUUGGUUCUGGCAUCGAUGAAGAACGCAGCGAAAUGCGAUAAGUAAUGUGAAUUGCAGAAUUCAGUGAAUCAUCGAAUCUUUGAACGCACAUUGCGCCCGCCAGUAUUCUGGCGGGCAUGCCUGUCCGAGCGUCAUUUCAACCCUCGAACCCCUCCGGGGGGUCGGCGUUGGGGAUCGGCCCUGACUUGGCGGUGGCCGUCUCCGAAAUACAGUGGCGGUCUCGCCGCAGCCUCUCCUGCGCAGUAGUUUGCACACUCGCAUCGGGAGC
rnacentral:rRNA from 1 species